rnacentral:rRNA from 1 species
AUGAACGCUAGCGGCAGGCUUAACACAUGCAAGUCGAGGGGCAGCGCGGGAUAGCAAUAUCCUGGCGGCGACCGGCGGAAGGGUGCGUAACGCGUGAGCGACAUGCCCGUUGCCCGGGGACAACCGGUGGAAACGCCGACUAAUCCCCGAUGGGAUAUUGUGCCGCAUGGCACGAUAUUGAAAGUUACGGCGGCGACGGAUUGGCUCGCGUCCGAUUAGCUGGUUGGCGGGGUAACGGCCCACCAAGGCUGCGAUCGGUAGGGGUUCUGAGAGGAAGGCCCCCCACAAUGGGACUGAGACACGGCCCAGACUCCUACGGGAGGCAGCAGUGAGGAAUAUUGGUCAAUGGGCGGAAGCCUGAACCAGCCAUGCCGCGUGCGGGAAGGAGGCCCUAUGGGCUGUGAACCGCUUUUGCCUGGGGGCAAUAAGGGCGUCGCGCACGUCCGAUGAGAGUACCAGGCGAAUAAGCAUCGGCUAACUCCGUG